GGGCCAAUGGCUCAGUGGUAAAGAACCUGCUUCACAUACAGAAGGCCCCAGGUUCAAUCCCUGGCAUCUCCA
rnacentral:tRNA from 1 species